rnacentral:rRNA from 1 species
UACGUAGGUGGCAAGCGUUAUCCGGAUUUAUUGGGUGUAAAGGGCGUGUAGGCGGGAGCGCAAGUCAGAUGUGAAAACUCAGGGCUCAACCCUGAGCCUGCAUUUGAAACUGUGUUUCUUGAGUGCUGGAGAGGCAAUCGGAAUUCCGUGUGUAGCGGUGAAAUGCGUAGAUAUACGGAGGAACACCAGUGCCGAAGGCGGAUUGCUGGACAGUAACUGACGCUGAGGCGCGAAAGCGUGGGGAGCAAACAGG